rnacentral:misc_RNA from 1 species
UCCGGCUUAUCACCGGCGGUUACCUUGGAGUGCCCAGCUUGACCUGAUGGCAACUAAGGUCGAGGGUUGCGCUCGUUGCGGGACUUAACCCAACAUCUCACGACACGAGCUGACGACAACCAUGCACCACCUGUGCACGGCCCUUGCGGACCCACCAUCUCUGGAGGAUUUCAGUGCAUGUCAAGCCUAGGUAAGGUUCUUCGCGUUGCAUCGAAUUAAGCAACAUGCUCCGCCGCUUGUGCGGGCCCCCGUCAAUUCCUUUGAGUUUUAGCCUUGCGGCCGUACUCCCCAGGCGGGGCGCUUAAUGCGUUAGCUGCGGCACGGAACUCGUGGAAUGAGCCCCACACCUAGCGCCCAACGUUUACGGCGUGGACUAC